UAGCCUAGUGGUUAAGGCUAUGGAUCGCCAAUCCGGAGGUGGCGGGUUCGAUUCCCGU
rfam:Aedes albopictus isolate Foshan contig50192, whole genome shotgun sequence.